rnacentral:lncRNA from 1 species
CGCAUUUAUUUUAGGAUCAAUAUUCAAUUUUGUUUUUAUAUUCUCGUAUAAUUGUAAAGAACAGCAAGCAACUCCCCCUUUUGAUUUCCCUCUCAAGAAUUCACUUACAAAGUUGAGUACAAGGUUCGAUCCAUCUUGAUUUCGACAAAAGGUACGUCUUGGAUUAGAUUUUGUCGCUUGAUAUAUUUUUUAAAUGAAUUAAAUGAAUAAUUUGUAGAAUAAUUUUCACUCUUUUCUCUUUGUGGUUAGCCAAAUAAUAAUUUUUGAUUUAAUCGGGAUUAAUUUGGCCUUCUUUGAUUGAUCAUAAUAAUACUAUUUAAAUUAUCAGCAUAAAAUUGCGCUUUUGUGAGUAAAUAGGUUUUGGAAAAUUAACCUGAUUUAAAUUUUAAAACCUUUUAUCAAAUACUAUGUACCAGGAAUAAGUUUUAACAGUAAUCUAAGUUUUAAAGAUAUAGAUAAAUAAUAUUUUCUAUUUAGUGGUUAGAAAUCAUGAAUAAAAAAUUGAAAUUCAGAAAAGAUUAUUUAAUUAUAUUUAGGUAAUGGUAUUGAAGAUUUGAGUUAGAAAUAUAGAUAUUUAUGCCUCCUAAAUUGGUUGAUUAAAAAUUUUUCAGUAAGAAAUUUUUGUUACUAUUACUCUCACGUUUAAGAAUUAAUUUGAUUGUUGCGUGUACUAACAAUGAAGAAUGGUUCAUUAGUGUUUUUUGAUCAAGUGCAGGAGAGUACAUAAGCAAGAUUUUAAGAUGGAGUAUGUGUUCUAUAUAUCAUUCCCAGUUAUCCUCAUCAUCUUAAUCGUAGCCAUCGCUUGCUUCGUGUUUGGUAGGGUUAGGGGUCGACAACAAUCGGCCCAACUUCCUCAGUACUAUGGUCCACCUGCACCCGCACCUCCCAAGUAGAAUUAAUUCUACUUCUCUUAAUAUGCUUUUGUAAUAAAACACAUACUUGAGGUUCUCUAGCAUUUUUCUUUUCCCCUUUUCUAUUAAAAGAAUGGACGGGGUGUUAUAUUGCGUGAUACCAGCUUCGUGAAUUCAAGAAAUUCGGACAUAAGAUCAUGUAGUUGCUUUCAAAAGAGAUGUUUUAGAUUUUAAUGAAAGAAUUCAAAAUACUAAGUACAUACAAUAUCUGAG